rnacentral:tRNA from 1 species
AAGUAGCCGCCGGAUGAACGGGUGUCAUUGAUGUUGACGAAUAUAAAGUUUAUUGAACUUUGCUAUUUU